GAUGAACGCUGGCGGCGUGCCUAAUACAUGCAAGUCGAGCGAACGGACGAGAAGCUUGCUUCUCUGAUGUUAGCGGCGGACGGGUGAGUAACACGUGGAUAACCUACCUAUAAGACUGGGAUAACUUCGGGAAACCGUAGCUAAUACCGGAUAAUAUUUUGAACCGCAUGGUUCAAAAGUGAAAGACGGUCUUGCUGUCACUUAUAGAUGGAUCCGCGCUGCAUUAGCUAGUUGGUAAGGUAACGGCUUACCAAGGCAACGAUGCAUAGCCGACCUGAGAGGGUGAUCGGCCACACUGGAACUGAGACACGGUCCAGACUCCUACGGGGGGCAGCAGUAGGAAAUCUUCCGCAAUGGGCGAAAGCCAGACGGAGCAACGCCGCGUGAGAGAUGAAGGUCUUCGGAUCGUAAACCUCUGUUAUUAGGGAAGAAAAUAUGUGUAAGUAACUGUGCACAUCUUGACGGUACCUAAUCAGAAAGCCACGGCUAAAUACG
rnacentral:rRNA from 1 species